rnacentral:siRNA from 1 species
UCAUUUCAGUCUCUGGAUCCG